CUGUUUUUGCCACGAUAAAUAUGCUAAUAAUAAUUAAAAACAUUACUCAGUACUCACUAUUUGUUCAAAAAUUAAAAAUUACAUGGGCAAGUGUAACGGAUUAAUCAUGGGGAUUUAUGGAUUUAGACGCCAAUUUCGGAUCUCGCAGACAGUUGUACUUGCUUAUCGGCUGGGUCACAAGUUUCAAGAACUAAUCUAGGCUAUCUGGUCCAUCGGUUAAAAUUAUGGGUCAAUUAUAGUGAUACAGAGAAGGCUCAUUCUAAAGCAAGUUGAAGCGCAUGCAAAUAUGUACCAAAUUAGAUGUUACACCUAAUCACACUGGUUACACAAGAUCUGCGAGAGACAAAAAAAACAUCCAAGGGGUUGUCCAUUAAUCACGUGUUCGAUUUUUUAAGGAUUCUGGGACCUCGGUGAUACAUGGUGAUAUUCAAAAUUACCCUUCCUCUCCCCAACAAAUAUCACAUGUAUUUUUAGUUAUGAGAAAAAUUGUAAAUUUGUUGUUUUGAACCUUACUCAAUCAAGCUUCCAGCGAGGUGAUCAUGGCACGCUAGGCUAGAUAGUGUACUUAUAUUAUGAAGUCGACUCUAGACAAAGAAAGAAUUCUACUGAGCUCGAUCCUGAAAAGUAAAGGAAACUAGCCUGGGCCCAUUCUGCAAAACGAGUACCUCCUACACGAAGGACUGAAAAUAGAAGGACCGAAAGGAUUGGGAAGAAGAAGAAUGCAGAUAGAAAAAAUACAGGGAACUGAAAGUCAAAGCACAGACACAGAAAUUUGUGUAUAAAAUGGGAAAAAGGCUUUAGUUGAGGAUUUGUGCAGAUAUUUGGAUUACUUAAAACGGCUAAACCGAUUUGGCCAGUCUUAGUCUUGAAAAAUUUGUGCCAAUCCAGAGGUGGUCGGAAAGGCUUUAGUUGAGUAUUUGUGCAGAUAUUUGGAUUACUCGGGCCUCGAAUAGAUCUAUUUAUACUCGACAAUAUAAUUUUGCCAUAAGGAUGAUGAAAGGUACACACUGCAAAUGCAAAUAAAUCAUAUUCUAAUAUUAAAAGACAAUUUACUUAAAUCAGGAGAAAUAUCA